rnacentral:rRNA from 1 species
UACGAAGGGGGGCUAGCGUUGCUCGGAUUGACUGGGCGUAAAGGGCGCGUAGGCGGUUCGUACAGUCAGACGUGAAAUUCCUGGGCUCAACCUGGGGGCUGCGUUUGAUACGUGCGGACUUGAGUGCGGAAGAGGGUCGUGGAAUUCCCAGUGUAGAGGUGAAAUUCGUAGAUAUUGGGAAGAACACCGAUGGCGAAGGCGCAGCGUCCGUG